AUUGAACGCUGGCGGCAGGCCUAACACAUGCAAGUCGAACGAGUGGCGGACGGGUGAGUAAUGUCUGGGAAACUGCCUGAUGGAGGGGGAUAACUACUGGAAACGGGAGCUAAUACCGCAUACCAUCAGAUGUGCCCAGAUGGGAUUAGCUAGUAGGUGGGGUAAUGGCUCACCUAGGCGACGAUCCCUAGCGUGUCUGAGAGGAUGACCGUCCACACUGGCACUGAGACACGGUCCAGACUCCUACGGGAGGCAGCAGUGGGGAAUAUUGCACAAUGGGCGCAAGCCUGAUGCAGCCCUGCCGCGUGUGUGAAGAAGGCCUUCGGGUUGUAAAGCACUUUCAGCGGGGAGGCGUUACCCGCAGAAGAAGCACCGGCUAACUCCGUGCCAGCAGCCGCGGUAAUAC
rnacentral:rRNA from 1 species